UAUCCUGGAACGCUGAAUUGCGGUGUGCAGCCGUAAGCGGGGGACCCAAUUUCCCGGGGUGAAUCUUGCCGGUUAUACCGGUGGGUAGGGCUAGACGUGGCCCGAAUCCGUCAGCUAACUUCGUAAGCGUGAAGGGAAUACCG
rnacentral:sRNA from 2 species